rnacentral:sRNA from 1 species
CUACUCAUGGCGCCUGCCCUGGUUGGCGAUGUGUUACCAACGUCUGGCCUGUCCCAGCCCAAGGCUCCGCGUGGCGACCAGGCCCAGCACUGGGAGGCUGUGCAGAGCGUGGCGUUUACUGCUUAUUGCUACUCUGCAGAGGUUGGCAACAUCUGACCCGCUCUACAGGCAGGAAACAGGCUCGGGGGCAUUGGGAAAACGAUCAAGGCCACUUGGCUGGACACUGGCGGAGCCUCGCACUCAAACCUGUCGGGCCUCAACUCCGUGCCAGGCCAACAAGUUGCCCUGGGCAGUUCAAGCUGGGGAUAAGGGGGAUGGGGAGCAGGAAGACAGCAGCAAGGAUGCGAUCCCGAAGGAACUUUCCUCCUCAGACUGCUCCAUGUCCAUGUGGGGUAGGUCGCUGAAGAGUUCGAAACCGUGCUCAGCACCGCGUUUGGGGCAUGUGAGACCGAGAGGCUUUGGGAAACUGACGCCGCUGUGAGAACGAGUUUAGCGGAGUCUAUGGACGCUGCGAGCUUGUGGCCACAAGAGGGCGCCCCGGAGCACGGCCCAGUCCCCGCCCCCGCGGGAUGGGGCCCGGCCUCUUCCCAGCGUUCCUCCUCCGGCCCCAGGUCACCGCCAGCACGCGCCUGCUUCCCGUCUGCGGGAGUCCACGCAGCUCCCCAGGUCUGGGGCGCUCCAAGGAAGCAGCAGCCCCUGCCCCUAUUGGGGAGCUGGCCCCUGGCAGCUUCCUGGCGGCUGUGGUGGAUGCCUUGGAGCUGGGCCCCCCUGUUGUGAUCAGUCCAUCACUGAGUGGCAUGUACUCCCUGCCCUUCCUCACGGCCCCUGGCUCCCAGCUCCCGGGCUAUGUGCCAGUGGCCCCCAUCUGCACUGACAAAAUCAAUGCUGCCAACUAUGCCAGUGUGAAGACUCCAGCUCUGAUUGUAUAUGGAGACCAGGACCCCAUGGGUCAGACCAGCUUUGAGCACCUGAAGCAGCUGCCCAACCACCGGGUGCUGAUCAUGAAGGGGGCGGGGCACCCCUGUUACCUGGACAAACCAGAGGAGUGGCAUACAGGGCUGCUGGACUUCCUGCAGGGGCUCCAGUGAAGCCCAGCACUGCUGCAGGGGGUGGGCUGCCUGCCUGCUCUGAGCUCUCUCUUGCACGCUCUCUCUUCUCUCACGGGCUCUGGCUCAUGCACAUGCAACAGGUGCGUCUGUCUAUAUGUCUGGGUUCUUGUCUUUUGUGGUCUGUUUGUCUUUUCUGCCUCUUUCUCUUGCAGUGAUAGACUGAGGGGGUAAAAUCAAGAGAAAAAACUCUCAGGAAUCAAGGAACAUAAUCUGGUGGAGGGUAAUCCAUUACAUGAGCUUCUCCUGUUCUUCCACUUUCCUGCCUGGCUUUCACUCCUUCCCCUGCUCUGCCCAGCCUUUCCCUCCCACCCACUCCUCCUUCUGCAAAUGCCCUGAAGGCCAGCCCUUCCCCCAACACCCACUUCCCCACCUCCUUAGGCCCCAGAUACAUACAUGCCCACAUGCACGCUUACAUGUUUAGAGCCAUCCUUGUUUCCAAAUAUGACCCUUCGCUUGAGGGCAACUGCAUAGGUACAUGUAACUCUGGACUGGCAUGCACAUUGUCAUGUGCAGCUUUGCAUAUACACACAUGCAUACAUGAGCCUCCACACAAGCACUUGCACACAUGUGGACUCCUAACCAUGCUAACCUCACUGGCUGGGAAGGUGGGGACCCCAUGGGCCAGCCCUUGCAGGAGGCCCUUUUGCAAGGCUUAGGGUGUGGCCAGCCCUGAAAGCUACUUGGACACAGGUUUCAGCUGGCCCCAGCCCAGAAGUGACCCCCAGAAAGGGAGGGCCACCGCUUUGCCCCCAUGCUUUUACCCUUCCUUCUGGGUGCUCUACACCUCCCCAGGUUACCAGGCCUGAGGCAUCUCAGCCAAGCUUGUUUCCUGCUCUGAGGCUUGGGGGGUGGGAGCCAGAGUGGAGGUCGGUGAAAUAAAGUGAUGCAAUUAG